rfam:Clostridium sp. CAG:354 genomic scaffold, scf66
ACUUCCCUGCAUAGUGCGUGUAGACUGGAAUUUUAGAACCAACAAAUUUUAUAAGGGAGUCCGCCUUUAAAUGUGGCGUGCAAGCUUACACUUUUAUUUAGUAGUAAGAAGCCCACAAACAUUUAACAAGACACCCACCUACGCGAGUAGGCUCUUAAAAUUUCUAAACUUCUUACGGCUAAGGCGGGGUAAGU